GAGUUUGAUCCUGGCUCAGAUUGAACGCUGGCGGCAUGCCUUACACAUGCAAGUCGAACGGCAGCAUGAUCUAGCUUGCUAGAUUGAUGGCGAGUGGCGAACGGGUGAGUAAUACAUCGGAACGUGCCCUGUAGUGGGGGAUAACUAGUCGAAAGAUUAGCUAAUACCGCAUACGACCUGAGGGUGAAAGUGGGGGACCGCAAGGCCUCAUGCUAUAGGAGCGGCCGAUGUCUGAUUAGCUAGUUGGUGGGGUAAAGGCCCACCAAGGCGACGAUCAGUAGCUGGUCUGAGAGGACGAUCAGCCACACUGGGACUGAGACACGGCCCAGACUCCUACGGGAGGCAGCAGUGGGGAAUUUUGGACAAUGGGCGAAAGCCUGAUCCAGCGAUGCCGCGUGUGUGAAGAAGGCCUCGGUGUAAG
rnacentral:rRNA from 1 species